rnacentral:tRNA from 1 species
GGAGGUACAGCUCAAGUGGUAGAGUGCAUGCUUAACAUGCACAAGGGCCUGGGUUCAAUCCCCAGUACCUCCU